GAAAGUAGGAAAGGGCGAAUGGUGGAUGCCUAGGCUCGUUCAGGCUAUGAAGGACGUGAUAAGCUGCGAAAAGUCACGGGUAGGUGCAAAUAACCUUUGAUCCGUGAAUCUCCGAAUGGGACAACCCAAUCACUUGUGAUUAUCCUGCCAAGCAGGAAGCCAACGCAGGGAACUGAAACAUCUUAGUACCUGUAGGAAGAGAAAAUAAAUUAAUGAUUCCCCCAGUAGUGGCGAGCGAACGGGGAAGAGCCCAAACCUGAGUGGUAGCAAUGCCACUGAGGGGUUGUAGGACCACGACGUUGUACUUUUGACGUGAGGAGAAGGAGAUGGAAAUCUCCGCCACAGAGGGUGACAGUCCCGUAUCCGAAGCGAAGAGAGGCAUAGUGGUAUCCUGAGUAACGCGGAGCACGAGGAAUUCUGCGCGAAUCCGCCGGGACCAUCCGGCAAGGCUAAAUACUCGAACGAGACCGAUAGUGAACCAGUACCGUGAGGGAAAGGUAAAAAGCACCCCGAUAAGGGGAGUGAAAAAGAUCCUGAAACCAUCCGCCUACAAGCGGUCGGAGCAUAGCAAUAUGUGACGGCGUGCCUUUUGCAUAAUGAACCUACGAGUUGCCGUCACCGGCAAGGGUAACCGUCAGGAGGCGGGUACCCGCAAGGAAACUGAGUCUGAAUAGGGCGUACAGUCGUUGGUGGCAGACGCGAAACCAAGUGAUCUACACAUGUCCAGGAUGAAGUCCGGGUAACACCGGAUGGAGGUCCCAACCAAUAAGCGUUGAAAAGCUUCUGGAUGAGGUGUGUGUAGGAGUGAAAGGCCAAUCAAACUUGGAGAUAGCUCGUACUCCCCGAAAGGCAUUUAGGUGCCGCGUGUGGUAAUCUCCGUGAGAGGUAGAGCGACUGGUAGGACGCGAGGGCUUCACCGCCUGUCAAGUCCUGACAAACUCCGAAUGCUCACGGACCGCAGCCAUGCAGUAAGGGGGCGGGUGCUAAGGUCCGUCCCCGAGAGGAGAAGAAUCCGGACCGCCGUCUAAGGCCCCGAAGUCCUGUCUGAGUUAGUCUAACGAAGUCUGGUCCCCGCGACAGCCAGGAUGUUGGCUUGGAAGCAGCCAUUCAUUCAAAGAGUGCGUAACAGCUCACUGGUCGAGGGUCCGGGCAUGGAUAAUAAUCGGGUAUAAGACAGGCGCCGAAGGCGCGGGAUAGAAUUUAAAAAAGUAUCGGUAGGGGAGCAUUCCAUAUGCGUUGAAUGGUGUACGUAAGUUAUCCUGGAGUAUAUGGAAAAGCAAAUGUAGGUAUAAGUAACGAUAAGGGGCGUGAGAUUCGCCCCCGCCGUAAGUCUAAGGUUUCCCGGGCAAUGCUGGUCAUCCCGGGGUAAGUCGGGUCCUAAGUCUAAGCCGAACGGCGAAGGCGAUGGCAGAGACGGUUAAUAUUCCGUCACUUGCCAUGUGGGCGAUGUGGAGACGGAGCAGUGACACGGCCGCGGGGUGACGGAAGUCCCCGUUGAAGGGUGUAGGUGUUGAUAGGAGCAGGCAAAUCCGUUUCUAGAGCUGACCCUGACAGUAUGGAGUCCUCCUCGGAGGAGUCCAAUAGCGCCGGUAAUCAUACUCCCGAGAAAAUCCGCUAAGCUCAACCACAUGGCAACCCGUACCGCAAACCGACACAGGUAGACGGGUAGAACAUACUAAGGCGUUGAGAGAUUCAUGGUUAAGGAACUAGGCAAACUGACCCUGUAACUUCGGGAUAAAGGGUCCUCGCAGCAAUGUGAGGCGCAGAGAAUAGGUCCAGGCAACUGUUUAACAAAAACACAGGGCUGUGCAAACUCGAAAGAUGAGGUAUACAGCCUGACACCUGCCCGGUGCCGGAAGGUUAAGAGGAGAUGUCACCAGCAAUGGGAAGCAUUGAAUUGAAGCCCCGGUAAACGGCGGCCGUAACUAUAACGGUCCUAAGGUAGCGAAAUUCCUUGUCGGGUAAGUUC
rnacentral:rRNA from 1 species